rnacentral:ncRNA from 1 species
GGUCGGGAGGGUGGCUAAUACAACACCCUCACUGGGGAAAUACGCCCGCCGCAUGCUGCUAGUCGGUUUCCAACCUCCCGACCGCCUCGCC